CCUAUCUCAGGCAAAAUAUUGAUCAUGCUGGAACUGUCACAUCAGCUCUGGGACAAAAGCUUUGCCUCCAUAACGGGUUGAACUGGUACCACGACCUCCAUCGAGAGGCCUUUGGAGCCACUGGCCUACAGGAAAAAAAAUCCAACCUCUAGCAUAACUCACAGGACCACAGUCUUGACGAGAAGAGAUAACAAGCGAGACAACAAACCAAAAUGACAAAAAGUGAUCUGGGAAACCAGCCAACACACCAUUUGGGGAUUCGAGAAUGCUGAAGUGUUCAGCGGUACAGCCUUCCUUUCACAACAGCCAAAAAGUGGAAACAACCCACAUGUCCAUUGACGGACGGAUGGAUAAACAAAAUGUGGUCCAUGCAGUGGAAUAUGAUUCAGCCAUAAAAAGGGCUGAAGCCCUGACACGUGCUACAGUAUGGAUGAACCUUGAAAGCAUCAUGUCCUGUGAAAGAAGGCAGACCCCAAGGACAAAAACUGUAUGAUUCUAUUUACAUAAAAUACCCCAAAUAUGUAAAUUCAUAGAGACAGAAAGUAGAUUAGAGGUUGCCGAGGGCUGGGGGAGGGCAAAAUGGGGAGUUAUUGCUUAAUGGGGACAGAGUUUCUGUUUGCGAUGAUGACAAAAAGAAAUAGACGGUGGUGAUGGUUACACGACAGGUGGAUGUGUGAAUGCCAUUGAACUGCACACCUAGAAAGGAUUUACAAGGUAAAUGUUAUGUCAUGUGUAUUUUAUGGCAAUUUUUUUUAAAUGGGAAGAAAAGUGGCCUUUCUGCUCUUGGUGUAUGGAACUCCCCUCUCCACACUGGGGA